CGGUGGAGCAUGCGGUUUAAUUCGACGCAACGCGAAGAACCUUACCUAGGCUUGACAUGUACGGAAUCCCUUAGAAAUUGGAUCUCGACCGUAACAGGUGUGACGAGCGCAACCCUUGUCGUUAGUUGCCAGCGGGAUGUCAAGUCUCAUGGCCUUUAUGCUUAGGCUACAUACAUGCAUUCUACAAGGGCUGCGAAGCCGCAAGGUGAAGCCUCCCACAAAAGAAUGCUCAGUUCAGAUUGGAGUGCAACUCGACUCCAUGAAGCUGGAAUCGCUAGUAAUCGGGAUCAGCACGCCGCGGUGAAUACGUUCCCGGGCCUUGUACACACCGCCGUCACACCAUGGGAGUUGACUGCUCCAGAAGUGGCCUGGUUAACCGCAAGGAGACCAGCCCCUAAGAGUGCUCAAUGACUGGGGUGAAGUCGUACAAGGU
rnacentral:rRNA from 1 species